UAAGCAAAAUGUGAAAUCAUGAGGCUCAACCUCAUGACUGUGUUUUGAACUGAUCAACUGGAGAAUGGUAGAGGUAACUGGAAUUCCUGGUGUAGGAGUGAUAUCCGUAGAUAUUAGGAGGAACACCAAUGGCGAAGGCAGGUUACUGGGCCACUUCUGACACUGAGGCUCGAAAGCGUGGGGAGCAAACGGAUUAGAUACUCCGGUAGUCCACGCCGUAAACUAUGGAUGCUA
rnacentral:rRNA from 1 species